UAGGAUUUGAUUCCUAUGCUCACUUGGACAAAGUAAUGCAAGCAUUUCAGAAGAGCAAUUUUUUACAACUCUACAAAAGAAGUUCAAGAAGUCUGGAAGGUUACGCAAAGAAGUGUCCAAAGAAGAAAUGAAAUCCAGAGUUGUUGUAUAGGCAGUUGGAUUUUGCAUGUAUACAUGGAGGCAAGAAAUUCCUGACUAAAUCCAAAGGAACGCGACCAAACCAGCACACCUUUCAAAUGGGUUGCCCGGUGGUCAUAAAACUAAGAACUUCGAAAGAUGGCAGUAAGCUGGUGAUAAAAGAAUUUGUUAAAGAACACAAUCAUGUGAUUAACAAGGCUGGCUUUCAACAUCUUCCGCGUUAAUGGACUGUCAACAAUGAUACUAAAGAAGAAGUGAAAUUGAUGCUACAGAUGAAAGCCAACAAAAAGCUCAUACAACAGCAUAUAAGUCAGGGAACUGGAAAAUCAGUGACCUUAAAGGACGUUCAUAAUAUGGCAAAGAAAAGACAAGGUGGAUUAGCCAAUCUAAUUGAUGAAAUGAAAAAA